UUGGGGUCUUACAUAUGUUAUGUGUACAAGGUUAAUCUGGGGAGCAGUUUCAUUAUAAUCUGAUAAAACCCUAGUAUUAUUGUUAAACCCUAAUUUCGAAGUCUAAUGAGAUGUUAAAAAUAUCUGUUAACACACUGUGUUAUGUGAUGUAUGAUGUGUAUUAUAAAGAUUUGAUGCUAAAAAGGAAACCCUAAUCAUAGGAAAC
rnacentral:lncRNA from 1 species